GCUUCAAGUGAGGGGAUGGAGGGAGGAGAGGCGCCUGGCUAGGUCAAAUGCGACCGAGCACCCCAGCUAGGGGCUGGCCGACGGCGACGUGCGCCGCCGCGAUGCCCUGCGAGCUCUUCGGAAUCUUCGAUGAACUUCAGUAGAGAGAAGCAGCAGACAGCUCAUUGACAAAGAAAUGACAUGCACACUUUUAUCUUGAUAACUUGAGUGGAGAGAAGCAGCGAACAGCUCAUUGACAAAAUAUGGGCCCCUUUAUCUUGGUCAGUGAGAAUCACAACUCUAUACCCUAGUAAUUUUUCUGAGCACAUGUGACUAGCUUGUUUCCACAUUUGCUCCUUUUGUUUUGUCAGAACCUAUCAAUCUCUGUGUGGCUUAUCUUGUACUAGUUCAGUUUUUAAUCUGAAUUGUCGCACUGUGUGCUUUCUUAGAUUCCAGGCUUUACCUGACAUUGAUCUCCACAAUGGUAAAAAUGGGAAAGCAAAUACUAUGAUCCAACUUGGUUUUGUUAUUAAAAAAACUAAAGGCAGUCUUCCUACAAGAAAUAGUUUGUACCCCCUGUAUAUUUGCUCCAUGUGCUGAGCACGGUCAGAACAGUUAGUAAAGCAUGAGGCAGUCUAAAGUUUAUGAAAAAAAUGCUUCAUCAUUGAGGCCCAAAAUCGAACAGGAAGGCCUCAAGGAGGACCGAGCGGCCCAAAAUGAAUUCUCUGCCAAAGAUUAGCUGGGGCUAUAUACUUCUGCAGCAGUCAUAUUAGGCACUUGGCAGUUAGUUCAGCUAAGACUAGCGGCUUAAACUGGGCUUAAACAGCAACUUAGAGACAACAAGGAAAUGGUAAAUGACAAGUAGAAUCAUGUCGUUGGAUACACUUGAUCACUCCUGAACCAUCGGUGAACC